UUGGAUGGGCGAAAGCCUGACGGAGCACGCCGCGUGAGUGAUGAAGGUCUUCGGAUCGUAAAACUCUGUUAUUAGGGAAGAACAUACGUGUAAGUAACUAUGCACGUCUUGACGGUACCUAAUCAGAAAGCCACGGCUAACUACGUGCCAGCAGCCGCGGUAAUACGUAGGUGGCAAGCGUUAUCCGGAAUUAUUGGGCGUAAAGCGCGCGUAGGCGGUUUUUUAAGUCUGAUGUGAAAGCCCACGGCUCAACCGUGGAGGGUCAUUGGAAACUGGAAAACUUGAGUGCAGAAGAGGAAAGUGGAAUUCCAUGUGUAGCGGUGAAAUGCGCAGAGAUAUGGAGGAACACCAGUGGCGAAGGCGACUUUCUGGUCUGUAACUGACGCUGAUGUGCGAAAGCGUGGGGAUCAAACAGGAUUAGAUACCUGGGGUAGUCCCAA
rnacentral:rRNA from 1 species